rnacentral:rRNA from 1 species
AUGUUGGUUAGAUGUGGAUUUAGGGCUAGGAGCACCAGUCAGGAAACCGUUUCAGCAGUGCUGUGCUACUGCAAAAUCUCCUCCUUCAUUUCACAGGCAAUAUGUGGAGGCGCUCUUCAGAGCACGCUUCCCAGGAGAAGGCAUCAGGCGGGAGGUGCCACGUGUUCAGGAGUUCAUCAGCAAGGCUGCCGAGGAGAUUCAAGAGGCAAGGGUUCUGCAAGGCGAUCGUCGUCUGCCACGAGGCGAGGCUCACUGCCCUGGCGAAAAAAACCCCAUGAAUUAACUUGGGUCACAGGUGUGGUUUUGGCUGUUUUGACUUCAUCGUUUGGUGUAACUGGUUAUUCUUUGCCCUUGGGAUCAAAUUGGCUAUUGGGCUUGAGCCAAAUCCGUGUUUUGAGAAAACAAGGGGUUCUCAAACUAGAAUACAAAGGAAAAGGACCACCGAGUUUAAAUCACCAGUUGUUACUCAAAGAGAUCCUUGGAAAGUGUUGGAGGUGUGGUGGUUAG